rnacentral:rRNA from 1 species
GUCCACGCCGUAAACGGUGGGCACUAGAUGUGGGGCUCUUUCCAUGAGUUCCGCGUCGCAGCUAACGCAUUAAGUGCCCCGCCUGGGGAGUACGGCCGCAAGGCUAAAACUCAAAGGAAUUUACGGGGGCCCCGCACAAGCGGCGGAGCAUGCGGAUUAAUUCGAUGCAACGCGAAGAACCUUACCAAGGCUUGACAUAUACGGUCUAUCCCUAGAGAUAGGGAGUGCUUCGGCGCCGUAUACAGGUGGUGCAUGGUUGUCGU